AAAAAUUGGACUCCAUUGGUGAGUUCAUUAAUAAUCCCUACCCUUUGUGAAUUUGUUUGUUUGAAAUAAUUUUUUUUCCAAAAAAAAUUAUUGAAUGUCUUUCCCUGUUUUGGUGGAGCUUGUAAAGUGAAACCAGGCAGGGGAAUGGCAAACAAUAAUUAUUUUUGAAAAAAAGACCUUUUUUUAAAAUUAAACUUUUUGUAUUCAUUUGUCUAAAAUUAUUUUUAUAAUAUAAAAA
rnacentral:misc_RNA from 1 species